rnacentral:rRNA from 1 species
AAACCAGCACCUCAAGUGGUCAGGAGGAUUAUUGGGCCUAAAGCAUCCGUAGCCUGUUCUGUAAGUUUUCGGUUAAAUCUGUACGCUCAACGUACAGGCUGCCGGGAAUACUGCAGAGCUAGGGAGUGGGAGAGGUAGACGGUACUCGGGAGGAAGUGGUAAAAUGCUUUGAUCUCUCGAUGACCACCUGUGGCGAAGGCGGUCUACCAGAACACGUCCGACGGUGAGGGAUGAAAGCUGGGGGAGCAAACCGGAUUAGAAACCCGGGUAGUCC